UCCCAUCGAGCUUCAUCAGCUUCAAGAACCCACUUUGCAUUCUCCGGGGUUGGACAUGUCGAGGAUAGACCACAUCACCUGAACAUCUUUGUAGCCACAUGCCAUCACUUCACCCUGCAAAUCCAUGACCCGAUUAUAUCAUCGAUCCCA